rnacentral:RNase_P_RNA from 1 species
AAUUUCAGGUAAUCGCGGCUAGAAAUAGUUGAGGAAAGUCCAUGCUCGCACAAGCUGAGAUGCUUGUAGUGUUCGUGCUUAGCGAAACAAUAAGCUAAGGCAGCCUUAUGGUUGACGGCAGGGAAAAUGGCUAAGGCGCAAGCUAUGUCAAAGUACCCUUGAAAGUGCCACAGUGACGAAGCAAGUGGGGAAACUCACUUGGUGGAACGCGGUAAACCCCUCGAGCGAGCAACCCAAACUUUGGUAGGGGCACUUUUUCUACGGAAUUGAACGGAUGAAAGAGGCAGCAAUGCAGAUAGAUGAUUACCCAUCUAAGUUAGUGCCUAUAUAACUUAGAUUGACAGAACAUGGCUUAUCGAA